rnacentral:rRNA from 1 species
UACGAAGGGGGGCUAGCGUUGUUCGGAUUUACUGGGCGUAAAGCGCACGUAGGCGGAUAUUUAAGUCAGGGGUGAAAUCCCGGGGCUCAACCCCGGAACGGCCUUUGAUACUGGGUGUCUUGAGUUCGGAGGAGGUGAGUGGAAUUGCGAGUGUAGAGGUGAAAAUUCGUAGAUAUUCGCAGGAACACCAGUGGCGAAGGCGGCUCACUGGUCCGAUACUGACGCUGAGGCGCGAAAGCGUGGGGAGCAAACAGG